CCUACGGGCGGCAGCAGUGGGGAAUAUUGCACAAUGGGGGAAACCCUGAUGCAGCGACGCCGCGUGAGUGAAGAAGCGUUUCGGCGCGUAAAGCUCUGUCAGCGGGGAAGAAACACGGUUCGCGAGAGCCACGGACGGUACCCGACCAAGAAGCCCCGGCUAACUACGUGCCAGCAGCCGCGGUAAUACGUAGGGGGCAAGCGUUAUCCGGAUUCACUGGGGGUAAAGGGAGCGUAGACGGCGAGACAAGUCUGGAGUGAAAGGCCGGGGCCCAACCCCGGGACUGCUCUGGAAACUGCCUGGCUGGAGUACAGGAGAGGUAAGGGGAAUUCCUAGUGUAGCGGUGAAAUGCGUAGAUAUUAGGAGGAACACCAGUGGCGAAGGCGGCUUACUGGACUGUAACUGACGUUGAGGCUCGAAAGCGUGGGGAGCAAACAGGAUUAGAUACCCCGGUAGUC
rnacentral:rRNA from 1 species